CGCCCCGCCGAGGGUCCCCUUACCCGCCGACCCGGCCUUUCAUCAGCUGGGUGCCACACCAUGAGACUUGCAAAUGGUUGUGUUGUGCGGAAGGGGUCGAACCAGCCCAGAGUCCUACAGACAGCCAAACCUAAGAGUUAUGACUGUGAGCCCCACAUGGGACACCUUGACGACCCUGUAUCCACCCUGGUGCUUAGAACAGUGCUUGGCACAUAGAACACUUGGGAUUCCCCAGAGAAGCUGCAGCAAACUCUUCACUGCCAAGAGAUAGAAGAGCAGAAGAGAGGGACCAGGGAAGAAAAAAAAGUGAUUGGGGGAAAAGAACUGUAAAAAGUGGUAGGGUCCUUAGGCACUGGACAGAUUAUUAGUAGUAUUAAAGUCAUUUUUUUCCUA